rnacentral:rRNA from 1 species
GCUUGGCCAUAAACACAGAUAACUACGAACACAAUGUUAUCCGCCAGAGAACUACAAGCGAAAAACUCGAAACUCCAAGGACUUGGCGGUGCUCCACACCAACCUAGAGGAGCCUGUCCUAUAAUCGAUGCCCCACGUUAAACCUUACCGCCUUUUGCCCCCCAGCCUAUAUACCGCCGUCGUCAGCCUACCCUGUGAAAGAAUCAACAGUAGGCACAACAGUUAUCAACUAACACGUCAGGUCAAGGUGUAGCACAUAAGGUGGAAGAGAUGGGCUACAUUUUCUACCACAGAACAAACGAACGGCACAAUGAAACACGUGCCCGAAGGUGGAUUUAGCAGUAAGACAGACAAGAGAGGCUGUCUUAAACCCGCUCUGGAGCGCGC